CCAUCGUGGCUCAGCAGAAAGGUAUCUGCCUGGCAUCUCUGAGGACGCAGGCUCAAGCCCUGGCCUUGCUCAGUGGAUUAAGGACCCAGCAUUGCCGUGAGCUGUGGUGUAGGUCACAAACGCGGCUCAGAUCCUGAGUUGCUGUGGCUGUGGUGCAGGCUGCCAGCUGUAGCUCCGACUCGACCCCUAGCCUGGGAAACUCCAUAUGCUGCGGGUGUGGCCCUAAGUAGACAAAAGACCAAAAAAAAAAAAAAAAAGGAAGAAGUUCACAUCCCUUCAGGGUUGGCAGGGAAACUAUACAGCAGGAACAAACCCCAAAACUGAAGGGGGUGGGCAGGGAGAGUGUCAGGAAAAGCCAGCUGAGAAUUUGACCUUUGCCAAUAAGUAGUCCCAGAAAACAUUCUUGUGCCAGUAACCCCAGAUAACAGCAGAGCCACCAGCUCUUCAAGGCUCGUUUAGAGGAGGUGGGCUAGUCCCCUGGGCUCUCCCAGGAUCCCCGUUCCUAAACUGACCAAGGGCCUCCUCAUCACAGGACCCACAGUUCCUAUUAUUCACCAAAUAUUACUCUCGGUACAGCCCAGAGGGACCCUGUCUUUGGUCAAAAGGGUCUCUUGGCCAUUCUCCUGUCAUUACUGAGAAAAACCCAUCUCACAGUCUCCCUCAGAAUCUACCAGAGUUUUCUACUCUUGAGAGUCAGUACAUCUUACAUUUUCCUGAUGCCGCUUCAGAUCAAACGGCAGCAGCAAGGACAAGAAGCCAUUUUAUCUAAAGAGCUCUCGAAAGGUAGUUGUGCCAGACAGCACAGUGGUGGAUAAAAAGCAAGGCUUUAGAGUCAGACAUAACUCCUUGAGCAAGGAACACCACCUCUCUAAGCUUCCGUUUCUCCUCUACCAAAUGAGAAUACGAUCAGCUCGUCCGCAGAAUCCUGGAGGAACUGACAUAUAUACAAUAUCAGCAUGUGCGCUACGGACAGUUGCUGCUGUUAUUAUCAUUAUUAUCCCUGGUCUACCCAGAAUUAGGCAAAUGCAUAAAUCAAAAUAAGGAAACACUUAUCCCAAAACCGCAGGAUUUUAUGGCCACCCCAACUUCCCAACGUGAGCUAAUUGUCCCUGAAGUGAAACCAGAAGGCUGAGGCUAUUGUUCUAAUGAACAGCAUGAACUAAAGCAGGAAAGCUUCACUCACGCUGGGAUAGAGCUGGAGUCCAGGCCAUAACUUUGGUCCAUGCUGCCUUCUUAUAAGUCAACACAGAAUAUUAGAAGCCCAUGAAACAAAGUGUCAAUUAAGCAACUGAGAAGGGGAGUUCCUGUUGUGGCUCAGCACGUUAAGAACCUGAGUAGUUUCCAUGAGGAUGUGUUGAUCUCUGGCCUCGCUGAGUGGGUUAAGGAUCUGGUGUUGCCCCAAGCUGCAGGGUAGAUCACAGACAUGGCUUGGAUCUGGCAUUGCUGUGGCUAUAGUGCAGGCCAGCUGCUGCAGCUCCAAUUCAACCCCUAGCCUGAGAAACGUAAGCCACAGAGGCCACCUUAAAAAAGAAAAAAAAAAAAGAAAAAG
rnacentral:lncRNA from 1 species